CUGGUCUGAAUUCCAACCCCAGUCUUGUAAUGUUAUUUUAGGCGUAUGUGACGCUGCUCACUUGCCAGCCAUGGUCUCAGCAAUUUUUUUGCCCUAUUGGGCAAAAUAGGUUAAAUUACCAGAGAUUCUAACAUGAUCCUUACAUUGUAUUACUGGGCUAUAUCAGCCAAUAUGCUAGAUGUAGUUUGAAGAGAGCAGAGUUGGAGAGAUUUGCACAAUCCAGGGAUUCAGCUGGCCGUUCCAGAUGCUGUCCUUCCGCAUCUCACUUCACACACGAAUCAUCCAGGGCUUCUACUAGUCAGUCCCACCUCCAGAGCAGAGAGCACAGACAUUCCCCACAUCCAUCCUGUUACUCUACCAGACAAGCUGCAGUCAAGAAAUGGAACAGCAAGACCUCUGACCAUUAUGUUCGAGGUGCGGGGCAGACCACCUCAAGCAUGCUCCUGGUUGAGCCGUGGGUGGUGGUUUCCACGUCACCACCACACAGGGCCGUUGCUAAUGCAGCAAAACAAUAUCUGUCAUUUUGAUGGAUGAUUAUUCAAUGACUAUAAUACAUUCUAUUCAUUUUAACUUAAAUAUAUUUUGUCUGUUAUCUCUGUACUAGAUAGCAUUAUUUGACUGAAUGUUUCAUGCAAAUACUGGAGUAGU